rnacentral:tRNA from 1 species
GCCGAAGUGGUGGAAUUGGUAGACACGCUGGACUCAAAAUCCAGUGAUAGCGAUAUCGUGUGGGUUCGAGUCCCACCUUCGGUACCG